AAAGGAAUAGACGGGGGCCCGCACAAGCGGUGGAGCAUGUGGUUUAAUUCGAAGCAACGCGAAGAACCUUACCAGGGCUUGACAUCCCCUGCCAGACGUGGAAACACGUUUUCUCUUCGGAGCAGGGAGACAGGUGGUGCAUGGUUGUCGUCAGCUCGUGUCGUGAGAUGUUGGGUUAAGUCCCGCAACGAGCGCAACCCUUACUCUGUGUUGCCAGCAUGUAAAGAUGGGGACUCGCAGAGGACUGCCGGUGACAAACCGGAGGAAGGUGGGGAUGACGUCAAAUCAUCAUGCCCCUUAUGUCCUGGGCUACACACGUGCUACAAUGGCCGGUACAGACGGAAGCGAACCUGCGAAGGGGAGCGGACCCGAUAAAACCGGUCUCAGUUCGGAUUGCAGGCUGCAACUCGCCUGCAUGAAGCCGGAAUCGCUAGUAAUCGCAGGUCAGAACACUGCGGUGAAUACGUUCCCGGGCCUUGUACACACCGCCCGU
rnacentral:rRNA from 1 species